GAUGAACGCUGGCGGCGUGCCUAAUACAUGCAAGUCGAGCGAACGGACGAGAAGCUUGCUUCUCUGAUGUUAGCGGCGGACGGGUGAGUAACACGUGGAUAACCUACCUAUAAGACUGGGAUAACUUCGGGAAACCGGAGCUAAUACCGGAUAAUAUUUUGAACCGCAUGGUUCAAAAGUGAAAGACGGUCUUGCUGUCACUUAUAGAUGGAUCCGCGCUGCAUUAGCUAGUUGGUAAGGUAACGGCUUACCAAGGCAACGAUGCAUAGCCGACCUGAGAGGGGGGUCGGCCACACGGGAACUGAGACACGGUCCCGACUCCUACGGGAGGCAGCAGUAGGGAAUCUUCCGCAAUGGGCGAAAGCCUGACGGAGCAACGCCGCGUGAGUGAUGAAGGUCUUCGGAUCGUAAAACUCUGUUAUUAGGGAAGAACAUAUGUGUAAGUAACUGUGCACAUCUUGACGGUACCUAAUCAGAAAGCCACGGCUAACUACGUG
rnacentral:rRNA from 1 species